GGAAUAGCCCCGAAAAUCGGGAUUAUACUCCGUAACAUUGCGCAGUGGCAUCACUGUACAAUUAAAGAUUUAUCGGUUAAAGAUGGGCAUGCGUGACAUACUUGUUGGUGAGUACGGCUCACCAAGGCAACGAUGUCUAGGGUCCUGAAGGUUAUCCCCCACACUGGUACUGAACACGACCAACUCCUACGGAGGCACAUAAGAAUAUGGUCAAUGGGCGCAAGCCUGAACCACCAUGCCGCGUGCAGGAAGACGGCCCUAUGGGUUGUAAACUGCUUUUGUCAGGGAAUAAACCCCCGCUCGUGAGCGGGGCUGAAGGUACCUGAAGAAUAAGCAUCGGCUAACUCCGUGCCAGCAGCCGCGGUAAUACGGAGGAUGCAAGCGUUAUCCGGAUUCAUUGGGUUUAAAGGGUGCGCAGGCGGAUUUUUAAGUCAGGAGUGAAAUCUCUCGGCUCAACCGAGAAACUGCCUUUGAUACUGAAAGUCUAGAGUAUAGUUGAAGUGGGCGGAAUGUGUCAUGUAGCGGUGAAAUGCUUAGAUAUGACACAGAACACCGAUCGCGAAGGCAGCUCGCUAAGCUAUAACUGACGCUCAUGCACGAAAGCGUGGGGAUCAAACAGGAUUAGAUACCCUGGUAGUCCACGCUGUAAACGAUGAUUACUCGAUGUUGGCGAUACACAGUCAGCGUCUGAGCGAAAGCAAUAAGUAAUCCACCUGGGGAGUACGAUCGCAAGAUUGAAACUCAAAGGAAUUGACGGGGGCCCGCACAAGCGGAGGAGCAUGUGGUUUAAUUCGAUGAUACGCGAGGAACCUUACCUGGGCUAGAACGUAGAAUGACUAUAGGUGAAAGCUUAUAUCCCUUCGGGGCAGUCUACGAGGUGCUGCAUGGUUGUCGUCAGCUCGUGCCGUGAGGUGUCGGGUUAAGUCCCAUAACGAGCGCAACCCCUAUCUUUAGUUGCCAACAGGUCAAGCUGGGGACUCUAAAGAAACUGCC
rnacentral:rRNA from 1 species